rnacentral:rRNA from 1 species
GUUGGGUAGCUACGUACGGAUGUGAUAAGAGCUGAAAGCAUCUAAGCUCGAAGCCAACUCUAAGAUUAACUUUCCCUGAAGUUCCCAGCAAGACUAGCUGGUUGAUAGGCUGGAUGUGUAAGCGUUGUAAGACGUUUAGCUGACCAGUACUAAUAGAACGUUUGGCUUAUUUUA